rnacentral:rRNA from 1 species
UACAGAGGGGGCAAGCGUUAUUCGGAAUUAUUGGGCGUAAAGGGCGCGUAGGCGGCUUGGCAAGUGGAAGGUGAAAUCCCUCGGCUUAACCGAGGAACUGCCUCCCAAACUGCUUGGCUUGAGACCGGGAGAGGUGAGUGGAAUUCCCAGUGUAGCGGUGAAAUGCGUAGAUAUUGGGAGGAACACCAGUGGCGAAGGCGGCUCACUGGACCGGUACUGACGCUGAUGCGCGAAAGCGUGGGGAGCAAACGGGG